UUCAACAAAAGUCCACAUUAAAAUUAAUAACAAAAACACAUCUCGUUACGGACAUUUUGAAUAAAUCAGAAAUCGAUUUAGUUCAAAUUUUUAAUAAUUACAUGUCAAGGAAAUCCGAUGCAAAGUCAUCUCUGAUAGAUAUAUCAUUGAAUACUGCAGGCAGCACACUGCAAAAUAUCCAAUCAAAGAUUAAAGAGCUUAAAGAGCCCUUAGCAAAGGAACAAACAAGUGAACCGUGAGAUUAUUUCUGAGAAGUAUCCUCAGGAACCUCUAGUCUACUCGUUAUAGCCAUCAUUCUCAUUGUUCUCUUUUUGUUUAGAAAGUGCCUGUGAUUCAUGUGUAGAAGGCACAGUCGCAGAAAUGCCACCAAACAAAAUCUCCCAGAACGAGAAGAACACAGCACUCCCGACAAUUCCCCAAGUAACGAGGGACAUUUGGAGAUGUUGGAGUUAACUCGUUUAUCCACAAAUCAGAAUCAGAAUAUCACGUCAGCAAACAAAGAAAAUAAACAACAACUAUAUCCAAAUUUGCAUAUAAUCGAGGAAACACCCUUACGGAUAUAAUGGUAGUCUCUUCAUCCGACGGUUAGACAAUAAAUAUGAACGAUGUAGUCGAAUUUUAC
rnacentral:lncRNA from 1 species